rnacentral:rRNA from 1 species
AUUAGACCUCAGAUCAGACAGGAUUACCCGCUGAACUUAAGCAUAUCAAUAAGCGGAGGA